rnacentral:piRNA from 1 species
AAAGGGACAGAAAAGAAAUACAAACUCU